CCUACGGGGGGCAGCAGUAGGGAAUAUUGCUCAAUGGGGGAAACGCUGAACCAGCAACGCCGCGUGGAGGAUGACGGUUUUCGGAUUGUAAACCCUUUUUGUUAGAGAAGAUAAUGACGGUACCUAACGAAUAAGCACCGGCUAACUCCGUGCCAGCAGCCGCGGUACUACGGCGGGUGCAACCGUUAAUCGGAAUCACUGGGCGUAAAGGGCGUGUAGGCGGGAUAGCAAGUCAGAUGUGAAAACCUAGGGCUUAACCAUAGAACUGCAUUUGAAACUGUGAGUCUAGAGUGUGCGAGAGGUAGGUGGAAUUCUUGGUGUAGGGGUAAAAUGCGUAGAGAUCAAGAAGAAUACUGAUUGCGAAGGCGACCUACUAGAACAUAACUGACGCUGAUGCACGAAAGCGUGGGGAGCGAACAGGAUUAGAUACCCGAGUAGUC
rnacentral:rRNA from 1 species